rnacentral:pre_miRNA from 1 species
GGGGAGAGCGCCAGAUCUUGGGCUGUGUCCCCGGCGCCCUGUGCUCCCGGGCUUGUGCUGUUGGAAUCGUGCUCCCGGCUGCGCAGCCCCUU